rnacentral:rRNA from 1 species
CUGGGCUCGAAGUGCAGAUGACAACCGGCGAAAGUCGGCUUCCGCAAGGACAUCUGCAGAGGUGCUGCAUGGCUGUCGUCAGCUCGUGUCGUGAGAUGUUGGGUUAAGUCCCGCAACGAGCGCAACCCUUGUUCUCUGUUGCCAUCAGGUCAAGCUGGGCACUCUGAGAAGACUGCCGGUGACAAACCGGAGGAAGGUGGGGAUGACGUCAAGUCAGCAUGGCCUUUAUGUCCAGGGCUACACACGUGCUACAAUGGCCGGUACAAAGCGUCGCAAACUCGCGAGGGUGAGCUAAUCGCAUAAAGCCGGUCUCAGUUCGGAUUGUAGGCUGCAACUCGCCUGCAUGAAGUCGGAAUCGCUAGUAAUCGCGGAUCAGCAUGCCGCGGUGAAUA